UCGGGCGUGGUGUAUGGAACACGCUCCCCUCUUCUAGGUUGUCAUGCAUGAUGAGUUCAGAGGGAGAGAGCCGGGUUCGACUCCUGGUGCUCGAG